CAUUACUGAAGAUAAGAGGGGUCUUGAGACUGCAUAUGUAUGCGUGCUCGGCCUUUCAUUCUUUCAUCCACACACACCUUUGUGCACUUAUGGGGAAUCUCCCCUUUAUAUAAACACCUAGUUUUACAUGCAUGUUUUCAUAUACUCUAUGGAGUUAAAUAUACAACUUUCAACAACGGAUCUCUUGGCUUUCGCAUCGAUGAAGAACGCAGUGAACGUGCGAAACGUAAUGUGAAUUGCAGAAUUCAGUGAAUCAUCGAAUCUUUGAACGCAUCUUGCGCUCCUUGGUAUUCCGAGGAGCAUGCCUGUCUGAGUGUCGUGAAGUAAUCUCAAUUUCAGUCUUUUUGUUUGGAAUUGGAUUUGGGUGUUGUUGUGACAUGUCAUAACUCAUCCUAAAUGCAUGAGCGAUCUGUCUUUGAUCACACACACAAUGUGAUAAUAAUUAGAGCAUUGUUACAAUCAAGUCAGGAUGGCUUCUAAUUGUCGAAAGACAAACUCUAUGUCAUUUGACCUCAGAUCAGGCAGGGCUACCCGCUGAACUUAAGCAUAUCAAUA
rnacentral:rRNA from 1 species